UACGGGGGGAGCAAACGUUGUUCGGAAUCACUGGGCGUAAAGGGCGUGUAGGCGGCUGGAUAAGUGGGAUGUUAAAUCCCCCGGCUCAACCGGGGACCUGCAUCUCAUACUGUUCAGCUCGAGCACAUCAGAGGAGACUGGAAUUCCCGGUGUAGCGGUGGAAUGCGUAGAGAUCCGGAAGAACACCGGUGGCGAAGGCGGUCUGCUGGGCAGUAGCUGACACUGAGGCGCGACAGCGUGGGGAGCAAACAGG
rnacentral:rRNA from 1 species